rnacentral:tRNA from 1 species
ACUUUAAUAGCUUAUUAUUUAGAGUGCUGCCUUGAAGAUGCAGAGGAGGGUUUAUUUCUUAAAGUA